rnacentral:rRNA from 1 species
AGACAGCUAGGAGGUUGGCUUAGAAGCAGCCACCCUUUAAAGAAAGCGUAAUAGCUCACUGGUCAAGCGAGUCUGCGCCGAAAAUAUAACGGGGCUGAAGGUGAGCACCGAAGCUACGGGCUUCGCAAGAAGCGGUAGAGGAGUACUCUCAAGUAGAUACACGGUGGACCGUAAGGACCACUAUCGGACUUGAGAGGAGCUUAUGCAGGCAUGAGUAGCGAUAAACCG